GAUUAGAGGAGAAAAUAAUUUUGUAAACAUUCUUACAUGCAAGUUGGGGAAGGAUGAUUUGGAAAUACCAUUCUCAAUUUAAAGAAUGUGUGCUACAUACAGAGGAUUUUAAAGCUGAGCUUGGAUUCUGUCCAGUUGCCAGGAAGAAAUUGUGGUAACUGGAGUGAGAGAGUAGGGACAAGACAUGUUCAUGGAAUCAGAGUCAGAGGUCCCAAAGGACUUAGUUGUACUAUGGCCACUGAGAGAUGAAACACAGAUCUUUGGUAAUCUGAUGGCU